rnacentral:rRNA from 1 species
AGUCGAGCGAGUCUGCCUUGAAGAUCGGAGUGCUUGCACUCUGUGAAACAAGAUACAGGCUAGCGGCGGACGGGUGAGUAACACGUGGGUAACCUGCCCAAGAGAUCGGGAUAACACCUGGAAACAGAUGCUAAUACCGGAUAACAACAGAUGAUGCCUAUCAACUGUUUAAAAGAUGGUUCUGCUAUCACUCUUGGAUGGACCUGCGGUGCAUUAGCUAGUUGGUAGGGUAACGGCCUACCAAGGCGAUGAUGCAUAGCCGAGUUGAGAGACUGAUCGGCCACAUUGGGACUGAGACACGGCCCAAACUCCUACGGGAGGCAGCAGUAGGGAAUCUUCCACAAUGGACGCAAGUCUGAUGGAGCAACGCCGCGUGAGUGAAGAAGGGCUUCGGCUCGUAAAGCUCUGUUGUUGGUGAAGAAGGACAGGGGUAGUAACUGACCUUUGUUUGACGGUAAUCAAUUAGAAAGUCACGGCUAACUACGUGCCAGCAGCUGCGGUAAUACGUAGGUGGCAAGCGUUGUCCGGAUUUAUUGGGCGUAAAGCGAGUGCAGGCGGCUCGAUAAGUCUGAUGUGAAAGCCUUCGGCUCAACCGGAGAAUUGCAUCAG